AAUGUUGGCUGCCACUGCCCACCCCUGCACUGAGUCUUUAUGGACUACCCGUUGCCCACUGCCCGACCACUUCCACCUGGACACAACUUGCUCAAAGGCUGGUGACUUGUGGGCCAUUCAUCUACAACCAAGUCCUGAUGGAGCAAGAGGCCCAAGCCUAGGGGAUGCAAGAACGACCCAUUUCUUAAAUGUUACCAGUCCCAGCCAACCUUUUGGUGACAUUACGGUUAAUUUUCCCAAUUGAAAGUAAGCCAACAGACACUCAAACUGGUUGUGUAAAUGUUGCUAGACUUUAUGUGUUGU
rnacentral:lncRNA from 1 species